rnacentral:misc_RNA from 1 species
UACGGAGGGUGCAAACGUUGCUCGGAAUCACUGGGCGUAAAGGGUGCGUAGGCGGCCCAAUAAGUCAGAUGUGAAAGCCCUCGGCUCAACCGAGGAAUUGCAUUUGAUACUGUUGGGCUUGAGUUCGGUAGAGGGAAGCGGAAUUCCUGGUGUAGCGGUGAAAUGCGUUGAUAUCAGGAGGAACACCGGUGGCGAAGGCGGCUUCCUGGGCCGAAACUGACGCUGAGGCACGAAAGCGUUGGGUAGCAAACGGG